rnacentral:lncRNA from 1 species
UUUUGGAAAACAAAGUGUCUUUUUGACUCUUUCCAAAAUAAUCUGGACCUAGAAAACACCAAUGAUGUACCACAAAUUCAACCAAUAUCAUAAACCAUCCUUCAUCGGACUGAAUCUUAGCCCCUCCAUCACUCUUCUCCAAAUCACCAGCAACUUCGAUUGACCAAGUUGUGUCAGUUGGCAUAAAACUCCUGCAUAUAAAACCCAAACAUGAAUAGUUACUGUCUCAGGAAACCAAACUUCAAUGAGGAUUUCUUUAUUCUUUCUCCCCACCUUAGCCCCACGUAAACCAGAGACAUAAACUCUACUAGAUUUUGACCCGUGCAACCGCACGGGUGUUUGUUUUCAUUUUUCUAUACAUAAAUU